rnacentral:rRNA from 1 species
ACGGCUCAGUAACACGUGGGUAACCUGCCUCAAAGAGGGGGAUAGCCUUCCGAAAGGAAGAUUAAUACCGCAUAAUCCAUUGGUUUCGCAUGGAAUCGAUGGUAAAGAUUUAUCGCUUUGAGAUGGACCCGCGGCGCAUUAGCUAGUUGGUGAGGUAACGGCUCACCAAGGCCACGAUGCGUAGCCGACCUGAGAGGGUGAUCGGCCACAUUGGAACUGAGAUACGGUCCAGACUCCUACGGGAGGCAGCAGUGGGGAAUAUUGCACAAUGGGCGGAAGCCUGAUGCAGCAACGCCGCGUGAGUGAUGAAGGUCUUCGGAUUGUAAAGCUCUGUCUUUGGGGACGAUAAUGACGGUACCCAAGGAGGAAGCCACGGCUAACUACGUGCCAGCAGCCGCGGUAAUACGUAGGUGGCAAGCGUUGUCCGGAUUUACUGGGCGUAAAGGGUGCGUAGGUAGAUAUUUAAGUCAGAUGUGAAACCCCUGGGCUCAACUCAGGGACUGCAUUUGAAACUGGAUAUCUGGAGUGCAGGAGAGGUAAGUGGAAUUCCUAGUGUAGCGGUGAAAUGCGUAGAGAUUAGGAAGAACACCAGUGGCGAAGGCGACUUACUGGACUGUAACUGACACUGAGGCACGAAAGCGUGGGUAGCAAACAGGAUUAGAUACCCUGGUAGUCCACGCCGUAAACGAUGAGUACUAGGUGUAGGGGGUAUCGACUCCCUCUGUGCCGCAGUUAACACAAUAAGUACUCCGCCUGGGAAGUACGAUCGCAAGAUUAAAACUCAAAGGAAUUGGCGGGGGAGCAC